GGCUCGGUGGCGGAGUGGUCCGCGUCUGCUUCACGUGUCUGAAUAUUUGCCGCUCUGGAUGCAGAGGACGCUCGUUCGAUUCGGGCUCGAGCCG